GGAUUAGGCAUGCAAGUCAGUUGUGAAAGCCUUCCGCUUAACGGAAGAACGGCAUCUGAUACUACAGGACUAGAGUGCGGGAGGGGAGAGUGGAACUUCUGGUGGAGCGGUGAAAUGCGUAGAUAUCAGAAGGAACGCCGGCGGCGAAAGCGACUCUCUGGCCCGUAACUGACGCUGAGUGUGCGAAAGCUAGGGGAGCAAACGGGAUUAGAUACCCCGGUAGUCCUAGCCGUAAACGAUGGGCACUAAGUAGAGGGGUUUU
rnacentral:rRNA from 1 species